GCUCUUCUCAGAUGGCUCAGUCAGUAGAGUGUGAGACUUUUAAUCUCAGGGUCAUGGGUUUGAAUCCCAUGUUGGGCA